rnacentral:rRNA from 1 species
UACGAAGGGGGCUAGCGUUGUUCGGAAUCACUGGGCUUAAAGGGCGCGUAGGCGGCUUGCCAAGUCAGGGGUGAAAUCCAGCAGCUUAACUGUUGAAGUGCCUUUGAUACUGGCGAGCUCGAGGGAGGUAGGGGUAUGCGGAACUUCUGGUGGAGCGGUGAAAUGCGCAGAUAUCAGGAGGAACACCGAUGGCGAAGGCAGGUCUCUGGGCCAUAACUGACGCUGAGAAGCGAAAGCAUGGGGAGCGAACAGG